GCCCGGGUGCUGAAACUGGUAGACAGGAUUGACUUAAAAUCAAUUGUCCGAAAGGACGUGUCGGUUCGAUUCCGACCCCGGGCA
rnacentral:tRNA from 1 species